rnacentral:tRNA from 7 species
GAACUCUAGCUUAGUUGGUUUGAGUUGUUGCUUUGGAGCAAUUGAUGCCAGGUUCGAAUCCUGGGUUGCUCU